ACAUGCCUACAACAUAGUGUUAAUGCACCGGGUCCCAUUAGAACUCUGCAGUUAAGCGUGCUCGGGCUAGAGUAGUACUGGUAUGGGUGACCACUUAGGAAGUCCUAGUAUUUUACAUGCC
rfam:Picea glauca, whole genome shotgun sequence.